UCGAGGGAACUGUUGGUAUAA
rnacentral:misc_RNA from 1 species